CUAGGUCAUGACCUUGUGGGCGGAGCUCAGAGAAGCGGAGAAACUACGUUGGAAGACAUUUUAAAACCGGCGUUUGGACCGUUCGCUCGGUUUGUCAGUACCGAGAAAACCUAAGUACCAAAGAAGCCUGGAAGCUAAAAAAGCUUCGAAGCUGCUUUUUUUGUCGAGGAGGAGUGAGGCUGGACGCUGAAAACACCUGCGGCGCGAAGGUCACAGUAAUAUACACGAUGGGACGUCAUCUCUGUACAAGGAAGAAGUUCUUUGAGACCAGGACAGAGGCCUCCAGGUGUCAGCUCUUUGUCCAAUGAAGAAGUUCUUUGAGACCAGGACAGAGGUUUACUGGUUCAGCUGCUGCAGCCUGGACACAAACACUAGCUCUCACCUGAGAAACCACACAGGUGUCUCGAUGAUCACAGAGAGUCUUUGAGACUAGGCCUCCAGGUUUGACUGUGUCCCAGUGCACCUCAAAUUCAUACCCUCCUCACAGCAGGGGUCGCGUCUUUAUCACAUCUGACCAGGUGAGGAGGGAGUUGAGGAUGAUUAAGGCAAGGAAGGCUAUGGGCCCUGACGGUAUCAGCGGCAGAGUGCUCAGUUCAGCUCUGUAGGGUUUUUCUGCACAUCUUUAACUUGAGACUCUGUCUGGAGAGAGUUCUGCUGUGGAAAACAUCCUGUGUGGUCCCAGUUCCAAAGACUGCACAUCCAAGUGAGUUGAAACACGUCAGACCAGUAGUUUUAACCUGUCACGUAGGGAGUGAUGCGACGGAUCCCCUGCAGUUUGCCUACAGACCUGGCAGUGGUGUGGAAGAUGUUGUCAUCUACCUGCUGCACAGAUACUUUUUGCACCUGGAGAACACUGUGGGCGUCGUCUUCUUUGACUUUUCCAGUGUAUUCAAUAUCUUCCAACCACCUCUGUUUAUGGGGGAGCUGGAGGGAUUGUAACCUGGCUGCUUAGACCACAGAGAUAACACUGACAGAAGUUCUAUGAUGACACAGGCAUUGUUGGGUGUGUCUGUCAGGGGAAAUGAUCUGGAGCACAGGGAGGUCAUGACCAGGUUUGUUGAGCAGUGCGGUAGGAAUAAUCUGCACAUCAAUUCCAGCAAGAUGAAGGAAGCUAUUUCCCAAUGCAGUGGUGAACAUCCAGAUUGUGGAGGAGUACAAAUUCCUGGGUGUUUACCUUAACGAUAAACUGGACUGGUCUCGUAACACCAACAGCCUGUACAAGAAGGGCUGGCUUUGUCAUGGACUCCACUGAGGAGGAUGUCUCCUCCCUGAUCAGUUCCUUCAGUAACAGACUGCUGCAUGUGUGGUGGGUGUCAGCAGUUGGGUCAUAACAUCAUCCAUGAUUGCAGAGUGUCUUCAUACAAUGAAGAAGUUCUUUGAGAGCAGGACAGAGGCGUUCAGUGGUUCAGCUGCUGCAGCCUGGUCAGACACACCACACAGGUGUCUAUGAUUGCAGAGAGUUUUCGUGAAACGCAGAAGUUGUUUGACAUCAGGAUAGAGGUGUCUCCAAUUGCAGAGUUAUUUGAAGAAGAUCUUUGAGGCUAGGGUGUCCAGGUGUGUCCAUGAUCACAGAGAGUGUUUGUGCAAUGGAGAAGUUCUUUGAGAGUGGGGCAGAGGACUGCAGGUAAUUCAGCAACUGCUUUACACCAAGUGUCCAAGAUAGAGUACUGACAUUGUUUAUGUUCAGUAUUCAUUGUAUUAAAAGUAAUAGUAUAAGUUUUGAGUGUGUUUUCAAAUUAAUAUUACAAAAGUGAUGUUGUAAUGCAGAAUUGUCAAAUGUUGUGUAGUUAAUAAUAUUUAAGACAGUGUCAAAAUAUUGUCACAAUGUUGCUGUACAUUUUUGUUUCAUGUUUAUUUGUUUGUUUUGUGUGAGUUUUUGUAUAUGUAUGGUUUACAUGUUUGAUUUGUUCUAUUUAUGCAUGUUCUGUUGUUAUUGUAUUUGUUUUAAUUUGUUGUUCCUCUCAACUGUCUUAAUGUGUUUUAUGUUCAUGUGAUCUUCCCAACUGUUUUAAUGCGUUGUUCCUCUCAACUGUCUUAAUUGUGUUCUUCCUACUGUCUUAAUGUGUUGUUGCAAGUGUUUUAUGUUCAUGUGAUCUUCCCAACUGUUUUAAUGCUUUGUUCCUCUCAACUGUCUUAAUUGUGUUCUCUCUACUGUCUUGUUGCAAGUGUUUUAUGUUUUCUUCCCGACUGUUUUAAUGCGUUGUUCCUGUCUUAAUAAAACAAUUUUUUCAUGGUU